rnacentral:rRNA from 1 species
UCAGGCCUAACACAUGCAAGUCGAACGAGGUAGCAAUACCUAGUGGCGGACGGGUGAGGAAUACGUAGGGAUCUGCCCUUAAGUGGGGGAUAACCCGGGGAAACCCGGAUUAAUACCGCAUGAUCUCGCAAGAGCAAAGAGGGGGACCGCAAGGCCUCUCGCUUUUGGAGGAACCUACGUCGGAUUAGCUAGUUGGUGAGGUAACGGCUCACCAAGGCGACGAUCCGUAACUGGUCUGAGAGGAUGAUCAGUCACACCGGAACUGAGACACGGUCCGGACUCCUACGGGAGGCAGCAGUGGGGAAUAUUGGACAAUGGGCGAAAGCCUGAUCCAGCAAUACCGCGUGUGUGAAGAAGGCCUUCGGGUUGUAAA